CCCACUACCCUAGUCUUCGGAUCGGAGGAAUUCUCGUAGCUCAGAAAAUAAAUUUAGCAGGAAGGCCCAGAUCUGUCUCGUUAUUAUAGGGGAACUGAACAAGUUGAUUCCCAUAAGUAUUUCUCACUGUUCCCCUAUAGGUCGGCACCCUGUUGCCCAAAUGUGAUUCACGGUACAUACGAACAGGAUAUAAUAUCUGAGCUUGUUCGUAUGUACCAUGAAAACAUGAGUUUUCUAGUUCCGACUUCAGGAAGAUCACGGAGUAUAUAUUCGAAGGCAUCGCCGGAAGCUUGACUGAGUGUAGC
rnacentral:lncRNA from 1 species